rnacentral:rRNA from 1 species
UACAGAGGGGGCAAGCGUUGUUCGGAAUUACUGGGCGUAAAGGGCGCGUAGGCGGCCUGUUAAGUCAGACGUGAAAUCCCUCGGCUCAACCGGGGAACUGCGUCUGAUACUGGCGGGCUUGAAUUCGGGAGAGGGAUGUGGAAUUCCAGGUGUAGCGGUGAAAUGCGCAGAUAUCAGGAGGAACACCAAUGGCGAAGGCAGCUCGCUGGGACGUGACUGACGCUGAGACGCGAAAGCGUGGGGAGCAAACAGG